UACGGGGGGGGCAAGCGUUGUUCGGAAUCACUGGGCGUAAAGCGCACGUAGGCGGAUUGCUAAGUCAGGGGUGAAAUCCUGGAGCUCAACUCCAGAACUGCCCUUGAUACUGGCGGUCUCGAGUCCGGGAGAGGUGAGUGGAACUGCGAGUGUAGAGGUGAAAUUCGUAGAUAUUCGCAAGAACACCAGUGGCGAAGGCGGCUCACUGGCCCGGUACUGACGCUGAGGUGCGAAAGCGUGGGGAGCAAACAGG
rnacentral:rRNA from 1 species